GAACGAGGUAGAUGAAGAGGUCUGGAAAGGCCCGCCAUAGGAGGUAACAGCCCUGUAGUCAAAACUUCGUUCUCUCCUGAGUGGAUCCUGAGUACGGCGGAACACGUGAAAUUCCGUCGGAAUCCGGGAGGACCAUCUCCCAAGGCUAAAUACUCCCUAGUGACCGAUAGUGAACCAGUACCGU
rnacentral:rRNA from 1 species